AAACUACCUGAAUUGCGUAUGAUUACCUGCUGAACUUAAGCAUAUCAGUAAGCAGAGGAAAAGAAACAAACAUGGAUUC
rnacentral:rRNA from 1 species